GAUGAACGCUGGCGGCGUGCCUAAUACAUGCAAGUCGAGCGAACGGACGAGAAGCUUGCUUCUCUGAUGUUAGCGGCGGACGGGUGAGUAACACGUGGAUAACCUACCUAUAAGACUGGGAUAACUUCGGGAAACCGGAGCUAAUACCGGAUGAUAUUUUGAACCGCAUGGUUCAAAAGUGAAAGACGGUCUUGCUGUCACUUAUAGAUGGAUCCGCGCUGCAUUAGCUAGUUGGUAAGGUAACGGCUUACCAAGGCAACGAUGCAUAGCCGACCUGAGAGGGUGAUCGGCCAAACUGGAACUGAGACACGGUCCAGACUCCUACGGGAGGCAGCAGUAGGGAAUUUUCCGCAAUGGGCGAAAGCCUGACGGAGCAACGCCGCGUGAGUGAUGAAGGUCUUCGGAUCGUAAAACUCUGUUAUUAGGGAAGAACAUAUGUGUAAGUAACUGUGCACAUCUUGACGGUACCUAAUCAGAAAGCCACGGCUAACUACGU
rnacentral:rRNA from 1 species